UAUCCAGACUCCUACGGGAGGCAGCAGUGGGGAAUAUUGCACAAUGGGGGAAACCCUGAUGCAGCGACGCCGCGUGAGCGAUGAAGUAUUUCGGUAUGUAAAGCUCUAUCAGCAGGGAAGAAGAUGACGGUACCUGACUAAGAAGCCCCGGCUAACUACGUGCCAGCAGCCGCGGUAAUACGUAGGGGGCAAGCGUUAUCCGGAUUUACUGGGUGUAAAGGGAGCGUAGACGGCGAUGCAAGCCAGAUGUGAAAGCCCGGGGCUCAACCCCGGGACUGCAUUUGGAACUGUGUGGCUGGAGUGUCGGAGAGGCAGGCGGAAUUCCUAGUGUAGCGGUGAAAUGCGUAGAUAUUAGGAGGAACACCAGUGGCGAAGGCGGCUUACUGGGCUUUAACUGACGCUGAGGCACGAAAGCGUGGGUAGCAAACAGGAUUAGAUACCCUAGUAA
rnacentral:rRNA from 1 species